rnacentral:rRNA from 1 species
ACACUCCUGCGGGAGGCAGCAGUGGGGAAUUUUGGACAAUGGGCGAAAGCCUGAUCCAGCAAUGCCGCGUGAGUGAAGAAGGCCUUCGGGUUGUAAAGCUCUUUUGUCAGGGAAGAAACGGUGAGAGCUAAUAUCUUUUGCUAAUGACGGUACCUGAAGAAUAAGCACCGGCUAACUACGUGCCAGCAGCCGCGGUAAUACGUAGGGUGCAAGCGUUAAUCGGAAUUACUGGGCGUAAAGCGUGCGGAGGCGGUUUUGUAAGUCUGAUGUGAAAUCCCCGGGCUCAACCUGGGAAUUGCAUUGGAGACUGCAAGGCUAGAAUCUGGCAGAGGGGGGUAGAAUUCCACGUGUAGCAGUGAAAUGCGUAGAUAUGUGGAGGAACACCGAUGGCGAAGGCAGCCCCCUGGGUCAAGAUUGACGCUCAUGCACGAAAGCGUGGGGAGCAAACAGGAUUAGAAACCCUUGUAGUCC